CCAAAGGCUCUUUUAAGAGCCACCCACUUUUCUCAGAAGAGAGCG
rnacentral:ncRNA from 1 species